rnacentral:rRNA from 1 species
UCAUCUCCGGGGGUAGAGCACUGUUUCGGCUAGGGGGCCAUCCCGGCUUACCAACCCGAUGCAAACUGCGAAUACCGGAGAAUGUUAUCACGGGAGACACACGGCGGGUGCUAACGUCCGUCGUGAAGAGGGAAACAACCCAGACCGCCAGCUAAGGUCCCAAAGUCAUGGUUAAGUGGGAAACGAUGUGGGAAGGCCCAGACAGCCAGGAUGUUGGCUUAGAAGCAGCCAUCAUUUAAAGAAAGCGUAAUAGCUCACUGGUCGAGUCGGCCUGCGCGGAAGAUGUAACGGGGCUAAACCAUGCACCGAAGCUGCGGCAGCGACGCUGAUGCGUUGUUGGGUAGGGGAGCGUUCUGUAAGCCUGUGAAGGUGGCCUGUGAGGGUUGCUGGAGGUAUCAGAAGUGCGAAUGCUGACAUAAGUAACGAUAAAGCGGGUGAAAAGCCCGCUCGCCGGAAGACCAAGGGUUCCUGUCCAACGUUAAUCGGGGCAGGGUGAGUCGACCCCUAAGGCGAG